GGAAAAAAUCUUCUGGGAACUGAUCUAGGAUUUUGGCUGGGAUCUGGACACAGAGCAAAGCCAGAGAUGCAUGACCUUGGAUUUUGUUCUGAGGAGGACACUAAAUAGACACCACAUGCUUCAGUGCUGCUGACUUCUGAUGCCAGCCAAAAAGAUGCACAAGUCUACAACAGGACACAGAGCCAGCCUAGAAAGAUACCUAGUAUUUGUAUGUGAAUCUUCAUGAUGACAAUUAUUCAUAACUUCAUAGCAAGAACAAGUUUAGGGGCAAAAUUUGAUGCUUCUGAAUGCACAUCU
rnacentral:lncRNA from 1 species